GCCUAAAUAGCUCAGUUGGUAGAGCAAAGGACUGAAAAUCCUUGUGUCGGUGGUUCGAUUCCGCCUUUAGGCACCA
rnacentral:tRNA from 1 species